rnacentral:rRNA from 1 species
GGACUACUAGGGUAUCUAAUCCUUUUUGCUCCCCACGCUUUCGCAUCUCAGAGUCAGGAAGGUCCCAGUGCACUGCCUUCGCCUUUGGUGUUCCCCACGAUAUCAACGGAUUUCACCCCUACACCGUGAGUUCCAUGCACCUCUAACCUCCUCUAGUUCCGCCGUAUCUCCUGCACUUCCAGGGUUAGGCCCUGGGCUUUAACAAAAGACGCGCGAAACCUCCUACAUGCUCUUUACGCCCAAUAAAUCCGAAUAACGCUUGAGGUCUACGUAUUACCGCGGCUGCUGGCAC